rnacentral:rRNA from 1 species
CCAGACUCCUACGGGAGGCAGCAGUGGGGAAUAUUGGACAAUGGGGGAAACCCUGAUCCAGCGACGCCGCGUGAGUGAAGAAGUAUUUCGGUACGUAAAGCUCUCUCAGCAGGAAAGAAAAUGACGGUACCUGACUAAGAAGCCCCGGCUAACUACGUGCCAGCAGCCGCGGUAAUACGUAGGGGGCAAGCGUUAUCCGGAUUUACUGGGUGUAAAGGGAGCGUAGACGGCUGUGCAAGCCAGAUGUGAAAGCCCGGGGCUCAACCCCGGGACUGCAUUUGGAACUGUGUGGCUGGAGUGUCGGAGAGGCAGGCGGAAUUCCUAGUGUAGUGGUGAAAUGCGUAGAUAUUAGGAGGAACACCAGUGGCGAAGGCGGCUUACUGGACUGUAACUGACACUGAGGCUCGAAAGCGUGGGGAGCAAACAGGAUUAGAUACCCUCGUAA